CAGCAGACACAUUCCAGCCAAUCAGCAGCAGACCCUCCCUCCCACCUCCUGGACAGCAUCCAUUGUGAAGCUGCAUUCUUAGUGAGCUGUCCAGGAGUUGGGAGGGUCUGGGAGGGAGGGUCUGCUGCUGAUUGGCUGGAAUGUGUCUGCUG
rnacentral:miRNA from 1 species